rnacentral:rRNA from 1 species
AGGGAAACCGAGUCUUAACUGGGCGUUAAGUUGCAGGGUAUAGACCCGAAACCCGGUGAUCUAGCCAUGGGCAGGUUGAAGGUUGGGUAACACUAACUGGAGGACCGAACCGACUAAUGUUGAAAAAUUAGCGGAUGACUUGUGGCUGGGGGUGAAAGGCCAAUCAAACCGGGAGAUAGCUGGUUCUCCCCGAAAGCUAUUUAGGUAGCGCCUCGUGAACUCAUCUUCGGGGGUAGAGCACUGUUUCGGCUAGGGGGUCAUCCCGACUUACCAACCCGAUGCAAACUGCGAAUACCGAAGAAUGUUAUCACGGGAGACACACGGCGGGUGCUAACGUCCGUCGUGAAGAGGGAAACAACCCAGACCGCCAGCUAAGGUCCCAAAGUCACAGUUAAGUGGGAAACGAUGUGGGAAGGCUCAGACAGCCAGGAUGUUGGCUUAGAAGCAGCCAUCAUUUAAAGAAAGCGUAAUAGCUCACUGGUCGAGUCGGCCUGCGCGGAAGAUGUAACGGGGCUAAACUGUGCACCGAAGCUGCGGCAGCGACGCUUAUGCGUUGUUGGGUAGGGGAGCGUUCUGUAAGCCUGCGAAGGUGUCCUGUGAGGGAUGCUGGAGGUAUCAGAAGUGCGAAUGCUGACAUAAGUAACGAUAAUGCGGGUGAAAAGCCCGCUCGCCGGAAGACCAAGGGUUCCUGUCCAACGUUAAUCGGGGCAGGGUGAGUCGACCCCUAAGGCGAGGCCGAAAGGCGUAGUCGAUGGGAAACGGGUUAAUAUUCCCGUACUUGGUGUUACUGCGAAGGGGGGACGGAGAAGGCUAUGUUGGCCGGGCGACGGUUGUCCCGGUUUAAGCG